UGUAACAGAGUCUGGGAAGCGCUUAGCUUUCGAGUGCUGCCUCCUGAUUGGACUAGGGAAUGCUGCUGUUCGGGAAUAAUGUGUGAAUACCAUCUGCUCCGAGGAGCUGGGAGUCUCAGUGAAUUUUGCUUGGAGAGGCACCUUUAGCCAGGACUACAGGCGAGGGGAGCAAGCUUGCUUUUCCUGUUUCAUAUCCAAACUUUUAGUUGUUGCUGGAUUUCCUUUCUGUUUCCCUGUUAAACUUUUUUGCACUUUGCUCAAGGGCUGAGGUGCUUUCCUGUGGGUUUUGGGGUUGUUUUUCCUUUAUUUUUUUCCUGCAUGGGAUUUCUUCUGGGGUUCAGCAUGCACACCAAAUGGGGAAAUAAAUCAGCAAGUUUUGCAGCUGUUUAUUGCAGCACAACAGUUAACAUGGAAUGUCUGAGUUGCUUUGAGAAACUACUUCCAAAAAUUUGACCUGCUCGUAAAAAGACUGUUAUCUCAGACGAAACACAGCUAUUUUUCAGCAGUCCGGCUUUGCAGUCAAAUGGUGCAUUCCACUUCAAGAAGACAAGAUGUAGUUUGUGAGCCCAUUAAAUCCUGCUCACUAAUGACCUGCUGGUGUAGACUCAGUCACUAGAGAGAAAACUGUAGCCAUUCCUUUAACCUCAAAACAACAGGCCUGACACCAACACGAUUGAUGGCCACCACUCUCUCCCAUUACUGUUAGCACAUACUUAACUUUUUGAUGUUACUGUUUUAAAACAUAGUUAUAAUUUUUUUUUCUCUGAAGGUUACAUUUUAAUCAGACACUUCUAUCUACACAAGGCAAAGUUAGCUAAGGGAGGGCAUGAAAUAUUGAUGUUUUACAAAAUCUUAGCCUUCCUUCCAGUGAGUCAGAUUAUUCAAUUUACUGUUGUCUGUUCCAAGGAGAAAUCUGCAAAGGCUAUUUCUAAGACUUUGUUUGCUGAAGGCUUCACUGUAAUUUGUUUUUGACAAACACCUGUUUUUUAGCUUUCUCUUUUGUGUUGGUAUGUUAAUUGUAACUGUAUAGUGUGUAAGUUGCAUGUACUUAUAUGUAUUCUAAGAGAAAUGUUUAGUACCUGUAAAUAAGGGAACAGUGGAUUUAUGUAAGUGAUACUUGAUCUAACCUAAACUUUUCGUAUUGAAUCAAUUUUAAAUAAACAAGAGAAGAUCUUA